rnacentral:rRNA from 1 species
UACGAAAGGGGGCUAGCGUUGCUCGGAAUCACUGGGCGUAAAGCGCACGUAGGCGGCUUCUUAAGUCAGGGGUGAAAUCCUGGAGCUCAACUCCAGAACUGCCUUUGAUACUGAGGAGCUUGAGUCCGGGAGAGGUGAGUGGAACUGCGAGUGUAGAGGUGAAAUUCGUAGAUAUUCGCAAGAACACCAGUGGCGAAGGCGGCUCACUGGCCCGGUACUGACGCUGAGGUGCGAAAGCGUGGGGAGCAACAGG